AUGGCCAUGAUUUAUCUAAACUGAAAAACAUCAAAGCAGGUGCUGCCAAGAGGGUGGUGAAAAGACCACAACCAAAGAUGGAUUCAACCAGGUUAACAAGUGAUAAGGGAAUUCCACUUCUUCCCAAAUUAUUUAAAGAUGUCAAAUUUAAAGGAAGAGGACAUGAGGGUGAAGAUUUGCGCCGAAUGAUGCAGAUUUUAGAGCACUGGGGUCAUAGGUUAUUCCCUAAAAUGCCAUUUGAUGAGCUACUGGAGAGGUGUGAAAGACUUGGGGCUAAAAAGGAAGUACAGG